UAAAUGUUAUUCGAGAUUGUACGAAUAUUUGUAUCCUACUGAGUAUUCUUUAUACUUAUCCCUUUUCCCUACCUUACAGGUUAGUACGGGUUGUGUCGGAGUGCGAUGGCUCGAUGGUGUGGUUGUGCCUCGUUUCAUGGGACAAAACUCUAAAAUCUAGCACGUAACUUUAUUUGUAUUUAAUAUUAUUGCAAUAGACACAUAUGUUUAAUUUAAUUAUUUGGACAAGUUCGCUAAAAAUUUAGUUGCAUGUUUUCUAGGAUAUUAACAUUCCCAUCUCUUUAAAUGUUUAAAUUGCACUCGAAUUUUAAUUAAGAUUUAUGAUAUUUGGUGUAAAUCCCAUCUUACCUUUCUGCCAUUUUAAAACUAUUGGAUGCUAAAACGGACAAGUGGCUGCAUAAACGUCAACAGUUAUAUAUAUAUUUUUUACGGUCACUUAUCACCAAAAGAUUUAAAUUCAAUGAUUGAAUACAUGUAUGGUGCUGUACACUUUUAUAAAAAUCAGAAAGUAUGCAUGGGGCUACAUACUUC
rnacentral:lncRNA from 1 species